rnacentral:tRNA from 1 species
GGCAUUUUUGCUUAGUUGGUUCAAACACCUGCCUUGUAAACAGGCGAUCCUAGGUUCAAAUCCCAGAAAUGCCU